AUGUUAACGAAUGUAAUAAAGGGGGUGACAGACCCUAAAAAGUUAUUACAACUUUCGACAACGGAUCUCUUGGCUCUCGCAUCGAUGAAGAACGCAGCGAAAUGCGAUAAGUAAUGUGAAUUGCAGAAUUCAGUGAAUCAUCGAAUCUUUGAACGCACCUUGCGCCCUUUGGUAUUCCGAGGGGCAUGCCUGUUUGAGUGUCAUUAAAUACCAUCAACCCUCUUUUGACUUCGGUCUCGGAGUGGCUUGGAAGUGGAGGUCUGCUGGAGCCUAACGGAGCCAGCUCCUCUUAAAUGUAUUAGCGGAUUUCCCUUGCGGGAUCGCGUCUCCGAUGUGAUAAUUUCUACGUCGUUGACCAUCUCGGGGCUGACCUAGUCAGUUUCAAUAGGAGUCUGCUUCUAACCGUCUCUUGACUGAGACUAGCGACUUGUGCGCUAACUUUUGACUUGACCUCAAAUCAGGUAGGACUACCCGCUGAACUUAAGCAUAUCAAUAAGCG
rnacentral:rRNA from 1 species